UACGAAGGGGGCUAGCGUUGUUCGGAUUUACUGGGCGUAAAGCGCACGUAGGCGGUCUAUUAAGUCAGGGGUGAAAUCCCGGGGCUCAACCCCGGAACUGCCUUUGAUACUGGUAGUCUUGAGUUCGAGAGAGGUGAGUGGAAUUCCGAGUGUAGAGGUGAAAUUCGUAGAUAUUCGGAGGAACACCAGUGGCGAAGGCGGCUCACUGGCUCGAUACUGACGCUGAGGUGCGAAAGCGUGGGGAGCAAACAGG
rnacentral:rRNA from 1 species